rnacentral:piRNA from 1 species
UCACCAGGCUUGGGAGAGUAGGGGUGUCA